GUGCUCGCUUUGGCAGCACAUGUACUAAAUAUUGGAAUGAUACAGAUAAGAUUAAUAUGGCCCCUGUGCAAGGAUCACACACAAAUUCAUGAAGUGUUCCAUAUUUAA